AGUGAACGCUGGCGGUAGGCCUAACACAUGCAAGUCGAACGGCAGCACAGGAGAGCUUGCUCUCUGGGUGGCGAGUGGCGGACGGGUGAGGAAUACAUCGGAAUCUACUUUGUCGUGGGGGAUAACGUAGGGAAACUUACGCUAAUACCGCAUACGACCUACGGGUGAAAGCAGGGGAUCUUCGGACCUUGCGCGAUUGAAUGAGCCGAUGUCGGAUUAGCUAGUUGGCGGGGUAAAGGCCCACCAAGGCGACGAUCCGUAGCUGGUCUGAGAGGAUGAUCAGCCACACUGGAACUGAGACACGGUCCAGACUCCUACGGGAGGCAGCAGUGGGGAAUAUUGGACAAUGGGCGCAAGCCUGAUCCAGCCAUACCGCGUGGGUGAAGAAGGCCUUCGGGUUGUAAAGCCCUUUUGUUGGGAAAGAAAUCCAGCCGGCUAAUACCUGGUUGGGAUGACGGUACCCAAAGAAUAAGCACCGGCUAACUUCGUGCCAGCAGCCGCGGUAAUACGAAGGGUGCAAGCGUUACUCGGAGUUACUGGGCGUAAAGCGUGCGUAGGUGGUUAUUUAAGUCCGUUGUGAAAAGCCCUGGGCUCAACCUGGGAACUGCAGUGGAUACUGGAUGACUAGAAUGUGGUAGAGGGGUAGCGGAAUUCCUGGUGUAGCAGUGAAAUGCGUAAAGAUCAGGAGGAACAUCCAUGGCGAAGGCAGCUACCUGGACCAACAUGACACUGAGGGACAAAAAACGGGGGGCCAACAA
rnacentral:rRNA from 1 species